GCCGAUGUGGUGGAAUUGGUAGACACGCCAUCUUGAGGGGGUGGUGGGCAAUGCUCGUGCCGGUUCAAGUCCGGCCAUCGGCACCA
rnacentral:tRNA from 1 species